CUUUUAUGAGCAAUGGUGACCUCAUGCAAUAUCACAUUUGCCAAGCCAUGACCUGUUCAACAGAAAAGCUUAUAGUGGUUAUGAACAUAGUAACAUCUGGGGUUUUAAGACAGCCUCUCAAGUGAGGCCCUCAGAGCAUGCAGCAGCAACAUCCACAGCUAUGGCUCGUGACUUCUCUUUGAGGCAGGCAAAUAGAUGGCACAGUGAAAGCCAUUUUGCUGCUUCGGAGAUCUGAAAACAUUAGGCAGCCCUUCGAAACCUGUGAAUGGUAUUGAUAGGGGAGAUGUGGUUCCACUCUUUGCUUAAGAUUUAUGGCUGGUGGCUGUCUGUUUUCAUAAAAAGAGCAUAGAAAAGAAGACAAAAGGAAGGAAGAAUUUAUAUAAACAAGUACAGGGCCAAUUUGUUUCACAGCCUUACUGCGAGGAGAAUUGAAAGAGAGGAAGAGACGUCUAUUUUCUGCAGGCCAGACCCGGCAAAAAGGCAAAGGACGAGAUGCACCCCCCUCCCGCAACUGCCCACAACUGGCCCUUGAAUAUUACUUCAACACUGGCAGGAGAGCAGCAUCCCCCACUGCAGCUGAGGGCAGCAGGCCCAAUCUUCAUGGCUGCCAAGAGCGUAAGGGAAAGGCAAGUGUUGGCUGCUGGUCCUUCUCCUUGUGCUUCUCCCUGUUUCUUCACCCAGAAAGUGCAGUCAAAGAAGCAGCAGGCCCCAUGGGUAGGCACCGCAGUGCUGCCGCCACCCCCCAAGAAAGGCAACCCUUGAUUCCAGUUUGCAAAACCCUGGCUAAACCACACAGGAAACUGAAGCUGAUUUCUUACUGAACUCUGCUACUUGGAUUCCCAAGGCAAAGUGGGAGACAGGGGCUGGAAGGGAGGUGGAGAGAAUGCA